CGGCCGGCUAGUGUGGGUCCACCGAAAGGUGCGUACUCGCGCGCCGGUCGUUACUUUCCGGCUCCGGCCGGUGCCCUUCAGUGGGUGCCGGAUCGUGACUGGGACUUUUACCUUGAGUAAAUUAGAGUGUUCAAGGCAGGCCAAAGCUUGAAUACAUUAGCAUGGGAUAAUAAAAUAGGACUUUGGUUCUAUUUUGUUGGUUUUAAAGGACCAAGUA
rnacentral:rRNA from 1 species